AAUAAAUUAACAUACACUGUAUCAGUAGAAUAAAGAAUAGAGGGGCUGGGAUGGUGGCUCAGCAUAGAGUGCUCAUCUAGCACAUGCAAGGCCCUGUGUUCCAUCCUCAGCACCACAUUAAAAAAUAAAUAAAAUAAAAGUAUUGUUUCUAACUACUUCCAAAAAAUGUUAAAAAAAAAAUAAAACAAUGGAAAUCAGAUGGUCCCCUCAGCAGAUGCAGAAAAAGUAUUUGACAAACACUCUAACCCUUUCAGGUCAAAAGCAGAAAUGAAUUUUCUUAAUCUGAUAAAGGUCAUCUAUGAAAAACCCACAGAUUAUCAUCAGACUCAAUGGUGCGAGACCAGUUUUCCCUAACAUGAGGAACAGAACAAGGAUAUCUGCUUUUGUUUCUGUUUCGCAGUGGUGUCUCAUUAUGUUACCCAGACACAAGCCAUCCUGCUACCUCAACUUUCUGAGAAGCUGUGACUAUAUACAUGUACACCACAGGGUACCUAUUCUUGCCAUCUAUCUAACCAGGGCAUUUAGGCAAGAAAAGAAUUGCAAAGAAUCCAGAUGGAAAGCAGGACAUAAGACGGUGGCUCAGCCUGUACAUAGACAAGAAUUACUGGAAGAUAGCUACUUGGAAGACUGAGACAGGAGGAUCACAGGUUUGAGGCCAGCCUGUGCAACUUAACCCAUUCUUAAAAUACAAAAAGGAUUGGGUGUGUGGGCUGGGGCUGUAACUCAGUGGCAGAGCACUUGUCUAGCAUGUGUAAGGCAUUGGGUUCGAUCCUUAGCACCACAUUAAAAGAAAAAAAAGAAAGAAAAUAAAGGCAUGUUGUCUAUCUGCAACUACAAAAAAAAAUAAUAAUUAAAAAAAGGGAUGGAUGUAUAGCUCAGUGAUAGGCCACCUCUAUGUUCAAUCCCCAGAACUGCCCCCCCCCCCCAAAAAAAAGGGAAGAAAUAAAACUUAUAUAUAACCUUUUUGUGGAUUUUAAGGAAUCCAUUAAAAACCUACUAGAGCUAAUGUACUUGGAUAUUCGUAAGCAAAAGAAUGAAGUGUAUGGAUAUCAGCAUAUAAAAAAUCUCAAAAUGAAUAAGAGCCUAAAAAUAACAAAACUGUAAAACUCUUGAAAGUUGGGUGGGUGGUGUAGGCCUCUAAUCUCAGCUACUCUGGAAUCUGAGUGAGGUAGGAGGAUCCCAAGUUCGAGGUCAGCUUUAGCAACCCAGGGUGACCCUAUCAAAAUAAAAAGGCCUGGGGAGAUAACUCAGUGGUAGAGCAUCCCUGAGUUCAGUCUCUAGUUUUAUAAAAAAACAAACAAAGCAAGAAAACCAAAACCUAGUCAGAAAGGCCUUAGAAGAAAACAUACAUGUAUAAGUUUUCAUGGCAUUGAAUCAGGCAAUAGUUUCUGGAUGUGAUGUCUGAAGCAUGAGCAUCAAAGAAAAAAUUCAUCAAUUAGACUUCAGAAUUAAAUGGUUUGCUUCAUAGGAUGCUUUCAAGAAAAUAAGCAAACACUCCAGAUAAUGGGAGAAAAUAUUUGCAAAUCAGGUAUCUGAUAAAGGAUUUUUAUCUAUUAAAAACAAACAAACAAAACCCAACUUACAACAUAGUGAAAAGAAGCUCAUCUCAGGGAAAUGUAGAUCAGCACUGCUUCACGCCUACUAGCAUGGCCAUGAUAAGACCACCACAGGAACAAGUGACGUUAAGGAUAGGUAGAACCUGGAACUCCAUUGCUAGAAAACUGAAAUGGUGCAGUCCUGUGGAAAAUAGUCUUGGUAAUUUCUUCAGAAGGUUAAAUGUAGAAUUACUAUAUGGCUUCAUUGUUUCCACUGUGUACCCAAGAUAAAUGAAAAUAAGUCUACCAAAACUAAACUUAUAUGUGAAUGUUCAUAGCAACAUUAUAUUCACAACAGCCUAAAAGUAGAAACAACUUUAAUGUUUACAGACUCACAAAACAGGUUAGAUCUGUACAACAAAAUAUUCAGCAAAUAAAUACAGGCUAUAAUAUGAGUGAACCUUAAAAACAUUACAGAUGACCACAUGAGUCCAUUUAUAUGAAAUAUCUAGAAUACACAAAUUAAUAGAAAGUAGCUGCUUAAGGAUGGACUUCUAGGACAUGGGGUUUCUGUUUAGGGUGAUGUUUCAAAAUUGAACAUGGUGAUGAUCACACAGCUCUGAGUAUAUUAAAACUGUUUUACACUUUAUUUUUCACAGUAUAGUUGGGUUUGAACUCAGGGUGCUUUACCACUGAGCUACAUCCCCAGCCCUUUUUAUUUUUUAGUUUGAGACAAGGUCUCACUAAAUUGCUCAGUCUGACCUUGAACUUGUAAUCUUCCUGCCUCAAUCUCCUAAGUAGCUGGGUUCACAGGUGUGUGCCACCACACCUGCCCUGUGUGUACAAUAAAUGUAUAAAUUACAUGAGAUGCAUUAUAAAAAGGAUAGCUUUUUAAAACACUGAAAGUAUGUAAAUUAUAGAUUCAGUUUA
rnacentral:lncRNA from 1 species